rnacentral:rRNA from 1 species
CAGUUGAGAGGCUGGUUUCAUUAUUUUUGGGGAUUUAGUCUUGUACCUUUUGCAUCAUGAUUUCCUGAGUGGGAUUCUAGAUGGGAGUUCCCGAAGAGUGGCGAUCUUUCUGUGGUUUGAUAGGAUCUAAGUGUUUGGCGGGUUGCUGAGUAUGAGAGUUGUUGAAAGAGGUGAGAUGUUUUUCGUGCUGCUGGAUAGCUGGUUCUCGUCUGUGUUUCCGUUGGUACCCCGUUUGCUCGGAUGUGAGCGGGGUGUAAAGAGACUUUAUGGCUUCUUGUGGGGUUAGGUUAGAGGUACCUUUGUUUAGUGGGUGUGUUAUAACUUAGUGGGGGCUUGUGGUUGUCUUUUAAGUUAGGGACGAGAGUUUGACGAGUUGAGGUGUUGUGGGUGAAUAAGUAGUUUGAGUGAUCUCUUCCUUUCUCGGAAUUCUCCGGUCUGUUUAUUAAAAACAUUUCCAUUAGGUAAUCUUUAAUGGUAGUGCCUGCCCGAUGUGUUUCAUGAAUGGCCGCAGUAUCCUGACUGUGCUAAGGUAGCAUAAUUAGUUGCCUCGUAAUUGGGGGAUUGUUUGAAAGGUUUGACCAGGGGGUAAGUCUAGGUGGGGGUCUUGGUUGAAAUUGGUUUGUUGGUGCAGAACCCAACGCUUUUUAGUUAGACGGAAAGACCCCGGGAGCUUUGAUUAAUUCUUUAUCUGGGGCGGAGGCAUACUUUUCGUGUGUUUUGUGAUCCCGUGUGGACAGGAGGGUCAAGUUACCCCGGGGAUAACUAGGUAAGAGGCAAGGAGAGGCCGUAUCGAUUUGUCUGUUUGCCAUCUCGAUGUUGACUUGAGGGUAGCAGGAGGGUGUAGAGGCUUUCUUGUGUUGGUCUGUUCGACCUUGGUGCCUUUCAUGAGUUGAGUUAAGACCGGCGUGAGCCAGGUCGGUUCUUAUCUACUGUUGUUGCAGGCUAGUACGAAAGGAUUGUCUGUAGUUUAAGUU